GAUGAAGAACGUAGCGAAAUGCGAUACGUAAUGUGAAUUGCAGAAUUCAGUGAAUCAUCGAAUCUUUGAACGCAUAUUGCGCUCUCUGGUAUUCCGGAGAGCAUGCUUGUUUGAGUAUCAGUAAACACCUCAACUCCCUUUUCUUUUUUGAAAUUGGAGCUGGACUUGAGUGAUCCCAACGCUUUCUUCCAAGAAAGUGGCGGGUUGCUUGAAAUGCAGGUGCAGCUGAACUUUUCUCUGAGCUAUAAGCAUAUCUAUUUAGUCUGCCUAAAAAACAGAUUAUUACCUUUGCUGCAGCUAACAUAAAGGAGACUAGUUCUUGUGCUGACUGAUGCAGGAUUCACAGAGACCGCUUCGGCUGACUUUGUAAACUCGAUCUCAAAUCAAGUAAGACUACCCGCUGAACUUAAGCAUAUCAAUAAGCGGAGGA
rnacentral:misc_RNA from 1 species